rnacentral:rRNA from 1 species
GACGAACGCUGGCGGCGUGCUUAACACAUGCAAGUCGAGCGGUAAGGCCCUUUCGGGGGUACACGAGCGGCGAACGGGUGAGUAACACGUGGGUGACCUGCCCUCAGCUCUGGGAUAAGCCUGGGAAACCGGGUCUAAUACCGGAUAUGACUCCAUGACGCAUGUUGUGGGGUGGAAAGCCUUGUGCGGCUGAGGAUGGGCCCGCGGCCUAUCAGCUUGUUGGUGGGGUGAUGGCCUACCAACGGCGACGACGGGUAGCCGGCCUGAGAGGGCGACCGGCCACACUGGGACUGAGACACGGCCCAGACUCCUACGGGAGGCAGCAGUGGGGAAUCUUGCGCAACUGGGCGAAAGCCUGACGCAGCGACGCCGCGUGAGGGAUGACGG